UUCGAUGGAUAGUAUAAUUGGCAAAAAAUUAGUAAGGUGUGUGGCUUAACGUCACCUCGCCAACUCAGCCAUUAUAGCGUUCCUGGGGAGCCAUCGGCCACACCGUCGGAGUUAAUGGGGGGCGCCAUCGUCCUUCCGUCAGCACGUUAACGAGCACAUUUGGAGUUGAUCGAUGUGAGAAUGGUUUAAAAGAAGUGGCGCUAUAGUUUAGAGGGGGCUUUAUACCACACCCUGCAAGUUAAAGAAAGAGGCUUUAAAACCCCCUGUGUGACGUGGCAGUGAGGUGACGCUGAGGUGGCAUGAUAAAGCCCCUAGGGGCUUUAUACCACACCCUCAGCCAAAAUAAUAUGUAGAUCACGAGCUACACGUACAUAGCUAAUUAAUCUACAUAUAUUUUUCUAUUUUACUUUUAGUUUUCAGGAAUACUAGUAACAUAUAAAAAGAAUGAAAAGCUAAAAAUAAAAAUAAAAUGGUCUUGUUAAAAUGGUCUUCUUGAAUUUUCUAGUAUCGCUUAAAUUUUCAAAAUUUCCAAUAUAUAAUGUAAAGAUCUCAUACAAAUAAGUCUUAAUAUGAGAAGCGAAGAAAGUUUCUUUCUUUUUUUUAAAUUUUUUUCCGUCUACUUAAACAUGAUGUUUUGU
rnacentral:lncRNA from 1 species